AUUCGCCCUCCACCAUGAUUGUGAGGCCUCCCCAGCCAUGUGGAGCAUGGUGAAAUUAGACCCAUUACAUCUUCUGGAGAAACUGGAAGGGGCUUGCAGUAGGUUGAAUGGUGGCCGCCCCAGAAGAUAUGUCCUUGGAACCUGCUAAUGAAACCUUACUUGAAAAAGGCAUCUUUGGGCCGGGCACAGUGGCUCACACCUGUAAUCCCAGCACUUUGCGAGGCCAAGGCCAGUGGAUCACCUGAAGUCAGGAGUUCAAGACCAGCCUGGCCAACAUGGCGAAAUCCCAUCUCUACUAAAAAUACAAAAAGUAUCUGGGUGUGGUGGUGGGUGCCUGUAACCCCAUCUACUCGGGAGCCUGAGGAAGGAGAAUAACUUGAACCUGGGAGGCAGAGGUUGCAGUGAGCCGAGGUCGCGCCACUGCACCCCAGCCUGGGCGACAGAGCGAGACUCCGUCUCAAAAAAAAAAAAAAAAAAAAAAAAAAAAAAAAAAAAAAAAAAAAGAGAGAGAGAGAAAGGCAUCUUUGUCAAUGUAUUUAAGUUAAGGAUCUUGAGAUGAGAUUAUCCUGGAUUGUCCAGUUAACCCUGAAUCCAGUGACAAGUGUCUUUAAAAGAGAUACACAGAGGAGAAGACAGACACAAAGAGAGAAGGUGAUGUGAAGAUGGGGGCAGAGAUUGGAGGGACGCAGCUACAAGCCAAGAAAACCAAGGAUUGCUGGCAGCCACCAGAGGCUGGGAGAGAGGCCUGGGUUGAGACGGCCUCAGAGCCUCCAGAGGGAGCCUGGUCCUGCUGACACCUCAGUUUUGGAGUUCUGACCUCCAGAACUAUGAGAAAAUAAAUUUCUGUUGUUUCAAG
rnacentral:lncRNA from 1 species